rnacentral:lncRNA from 1 species
GGUCUGCGACUCAGUUGCUACGGGGCUGUGCACAUAGAUGUCCAGUGCCCGAAACCCGAGUAAGUUGUUGGCAUUCUUUUAUCUUCCAUUCAGCUGAAAAGGUAAAUUUCUUUGUAUAGCAAGUGGAAAUCUCGGAAGCUACUUGGGAUGAAGUACCUUAUGUUUCUUGCCCAAAAGACCCGCGGUAAAAGGCCUAUUUCAACUUCUUCGUCGGAGGCUGGACGAACGUUGCUUUCCAUAUCUGAGCAGCCCGAGCAAGAACGCCUGGCUGAAAAGAAGGUAAUUUUCCAAAGUUUGAACUUAGUGAUGUGUUCUCAACCUUCCUCUGGCGUGAAGGAGACAGCAUUACCACCAACACAGGCUGUUUCAACACAAAAACAAGAGCCAAAUCAGCGCAAGGUAUACUAUCAAAGACAAAAGCUCAAUACUUACUUGUUUGUGUUGCAGCGGAAAGCCGUGAUAUCAAUAACGGUGCUUCUUAGUGCUACAGCAUUGGCAUUGUGCGGUGGAAUCUGCAUUCAAAAAAAGCUGCGUAAGAAACCAACACCGGUCAAGACGGAAUCUUCAGCAUCAAUCAAAGACAUUGUACCACAAGCCGGUCCCGCGAAGUUCUCGUUCAAGCAAGUCCGCAAGAUCACAAACAACUUCAGUGUCAAGCUAGGAGACGGUGGCUUUGGGCUGGUGUACGAAGGAACACUCAAGGACGGGAGCAAAGUAGCCGUCAAGAUGCUGGAAAGAACGUCAACACAAGGUGAGAAAGAAUUCAAGGCAGAGGUGAGUGUGAUGGCAACGGUUCGUCACCUGAAUCUCAUCCGACUGAGAGGAUACUGCGCGCAAGGGCCGCGGAGAAUACUCAUCUAUGACUUCAUGCCAAACAGCUCCCUUGACAAGUGGCUGUUCAUAACACCUGGUAAGUUUUCCUGGUCAUUACAAGAGAGAAAGAGAGCGAGCUUACCAUAAAAAACCAUUGAGCAGGAAAGGAUUGCAUGCUUGACUGGUC